rnacentral:rRNA from 1 species
ACCCCAUGCCGAACUCAGAAGUGAAACGCCGUAGCGCCGAUGGUAGUGUGGGGUCUCCCCAUGCGAGAGUAGGGAACUGCUAGGCA